AAAGGGGAUGAAAGUCUCUCUGAGCAACCCCUUAUCAUGUGGGAUCAGAAGUGACAGUUGGUGCUGAAAAACAAGCUGCCAUGUCCUGAGCUUGUGGAGAGGAUCAUGUGAUGAGGAACUAAGGCUUCCAGCUAGCAGCCAUCAAAGAACCGAAGAAUCUGGUCAACACCCACAUGAGUGAACCUUCCUGGAAGUGAUCUUCCAUCCCCAAUCAAACUUUCAGUCCCAGGCCUACUUGAUCUUGUCCGUUUGGCUCGGCUGGUGGAGGAAUAACAAGGGUCUUCCCAUCAUGCAACAUUCUGGGAUACAUCAUGACAGAGAAAUCUCAAAGCCCAGGUCAAUUAUAACAGAAGAUGUGCACCACCUCUUGCCCCUGAAUGUCUUCUGGGGCCGCAGUUGUUUAAAACUAAGUCACCUGAAAAAUGCAAGGAAAUGUGUGUCUAGCUGCUGCCUGCCUUCCUGGUUGUUUAGCAGGAUACAAAUUGCAGAAGACUAAUGCUCUAUGUGUGUGGUUUGUG